AAAUGACUCCAAAGAGCACAAGUAGGCUGAGGAAGGCACAAGGCCAUUCUCGUCUGGAAUGUUAUCAAAUCAUCAUUCAGAAACAUUAUUUGUAUUAGGCCCUUUUCCUGAGGCCACCCACAUUGAAAAUGUCGACUAACAAUUUAAAUGGAAUAGAUAAAGAAGAUAGAAGGUGGGAUGGAAGAUAAAUAAGAAGAGAGAAGUAAAAACAAUUCCUCAGGUAGACUGUAACUUUCUCAAAAGUUUCUGGAAGCCAUAAUGGACAAGAUGCCAACUGCAGUAGUUUUCUUAAUCAAAUUUUUUCUUGAAUCCCCUCGAGGCCAGGUGUGUCCAACUACUGUUUGCUUCUAAUAAGUGUCCUACCCUAGUUCUUUUCCUUUUUGUCCCAGGAAAAUAUGUUAAGCAUUAGUGGAAAUUUGAGUUGAGUGGAAUCCCUGUUAUUUGAAAGAUUUGUUAACGUAUUUACAUAGCCAUCUCUCAAUUUACAAGGUAUUUUCACAACAUUCGUUUAUUUAACAAAUUUUUGAGGGCCUAUUCUUGGCUGGGCCAUAGCUGUCUAGCAUACAAAUAGUCCUCAUGCUCCUGGGGCCAGUUUACCUAGCUAAAAAGCAGUGUAGCACAAUGGUUAGCAUAGAAUUUGGGGUCAGAUCCCAGCUCUGUGUGCCCUGGGGAGGUCAUUUAUGCCCUCUAUGCCACAGUUUCAACAUCUGUAACCUCCCUAGCAGGGUUACUUGGGAUUGGUGCUUCAAGGGGGGUCAUGGUUUUAG
rnacentral:lncRNA from 1 species